AGUGAACGCUGGCGGUAGGCCUAACACAUGCAAGUCGAACGGCAGCACAGUAAGAGCUUGCUCUUACGGGUGGCGAGUGGCGGACGGGUGAGGAAUACAUCGGACUCUACUUUUUCGUGGGGGAUAACGUAGGGAAACUUACGCUAAUACCGCAUACGACCUACGGGUGAAAGCAGGGGAUCUUCGGACCUUGCGCGAUUGAAUGAGCCGAUGUCGGAUUAGCUAGUUGGCGGGGUAAAGGCCCACCAAGGCGACGAUCCGUAGCUCGUCGGGGUGGCUGAUAGGCCACACUGGAACUGAGACACGGUCAAGACUCCUACGGGAGGCAGCAGUGGGGAAUAUUAGACAAUGGGCGGAAGCCUGACCCAGCCAUACCGCGUGGGUGAAGAAGGCCUUGGGGUUGUAAAGCCCUUUUGUUGGGAAAGAAAAGCAGCAGGUUAAUACCCCGCUGUUCUGACGGUACCCAAAGAAUAAGCACCGGCUAACUUCGUG
rnacentral:rRNA from 1 species